UCCGGUGUGGUGUAGUUGGUUAGCAUUCUCAACCCCGAUCCGAGGGCUAGGUACCUAGUAACCUUGGGAAAAAGGGGCUGUGGACCCAAGUUCGAUCCUUGGCGCCGGAC